GAACCGAUUUUUUCCCCUGCUCCUGCUAUCUGUCGUCUCUAGCAUCACUGCUGCGUAAACUAGACCAAACUGGACUUUGGAGCUCACGAGUAGCGCUGCAAUUGCCGUCAUGAAACGAGUUGAUGUAGCUGCUAAGAUAUUGCUCCGCCACAAUUUUGCAAGCUCGAGUGAUGCUCCAUAGUCAUCUGUAGUAUCAAUGAUGCUCUCUGCGGAUAUUUGAUUUUCACCGCACAAUUGGCUAUUCUACUCUACAGCUCAUGGAAGGCAUAAAUAUUUUCUUCAUGCUAUUAGUUUUUCUCCUGAACAAGCUAAUUAUGUUGGACUGGUAGGUUCUUAGGCUCGCUGUGGCCAAGCAGAAUGUAUCUGUUACAAAUCAUUUGGAUUUUUCUCAUCUUGUGCUUCGAACUUCAAAAGUGCCAUGUUCUCAGUAUCAUGUGUUUGCAAUUAUGUUCAUUGUGUAUCAAUACCUAGAUGCUCACACUUAGUUUAGGACGAGUUAAAAAUCAUUCAUGUAAUAUUAGCAGCUCUUCAUACCUGUAUGUGCAUAACUGAAGAAGCUCUUCAUAUCCUGUAAUAGAUUCUGCUGUGUCUGCUGCUUGUUUUAUAGUUUAUAGUUAGAGCCUGCUCCGUUUUAUAUGAUAAUAGAAUAAAAGAAGAAAGAGACUGAGGUUUUUUUCUUGAGCUCUUUUACGGUGCACAAUACUACCAGGUGGUAGUAUAGAGUAUAGGUUCUUUUUUGGCAUGGGUACAAUUGUAAUUAGCACGACAUAUAUUAUUUGGGGAAUUUUUUUUCGCGAGCCAUUUUCCCCGCGCACGGCCGCCCCGCCCCCACCCGCACGCCGCGCGCCCGUUGUGCCGCGCCUCCACCGCCCGCACGCAGCCCCGCCGGUCGCGCCGCCAUGCCCUCGCACCGCCCCACCCGUUGCGCCGCCACCGCCGCCUCGCUGGCACCGCCCGCACGCCGCCUCGCCCGUCGCGCCGCCACAGCCAGCACUCGGCACCAUCAGAAGCAAGUCUUCUCCUUGGAGAAACCCCUCAAGAUGGAAUUGACGAGCUGACUACUCUGUUGUCCUUUUCAGCAAAAUCCAUAUUUCUCGCAAUAUCAUUAACACCAUCAGAGGCGAGUCGCCUUCUUGGUGAAACCCCUCUUGAUGAAGCUGGCCUCCUAUCUUUUUCAGGGAAAUCAACACUUUUCGAUAAAGUACCAAUGCCACCAGAAGUAGUUCUUCUAGGUGAAAGUCCUCUUGAUGAAGACAGGUUGGAAACGGGUCCAUUAGUCUCUCAGAUGAUUUUGCGGUAGUCUGUGAUGCAGCAUUAGACACACUUGACACCGAUGCACUUGGUGAAAUGCUGGGUGAUGAAACUGAUGAGGAGAGUGUACUGUUAUCAUUUUCAGGAUGCAGGUUUGAGAUCUUUACCAACACCGAUGCUUUUAGGCACAUCAUUUGCACCACUAGAAGCAGGUGAUCUUCUUGGUGAACCCCCUCGUGAUGACACUGACGAAGAGACCAAGCGGUCAAUUUUAUCAGCAAGAUCAAUACUUCUUGACAAUGCAUUUGCAGCGGAGGACAUUGUUGUUCUCUUCGGUGAAACCCCACGAGAUGGAAAACCCCACGAGAUGGAACUGAUGGAAGAGCAGACCUACUAAUUUAUCAGUGAGAUCCAUGCUCUUAGACAUUGUUGUUCUCUUUCUUUUUUCCGUAUUUAAGUUAGACAGGGUUUUUGCAUUGCCACCGCAUGGAGUGUAAUCGGUACAAUCUGUUUCCUCGUACAAUAGUCUUAAUGCUGAUGUCUGGGUACGUUCCAGUGGAGAUUUUUGCUUGAAAGCCACUUGAAUCAA